GGACGCGUGGUGCAGUGGUAGCACGCUUCCUUAGCAUACAUAUUUCCAAAAUAGUUCAUUUUAUGGAAGAGGUCCUGGGUUCACGUUCAAUAAACGUUCAAUUCCCAGCGCGUCCA